rnacentral:rRNA from 1 species
GGAGGAAUAUUGCGCAAUGGGCGAAAGCCUGACGCAGCGACGCCGCGUGGGGGAUGAAGGUUUUCGGAUUGUAAACCCCUUUCAUGAGGAAAGAUAAAGUGGGUAACCACUUAGACGGUACCUCAAGAAGAAGCCACGGCUAACUUCGUGCCAGCAGCCGCGGUAAUACGAAGGUGGCAAGCGUUGUUCGGAUUUACUGGGCGUAAAGAGCACGUAGGCGGUUGGGAAAGCCUCUUGGGAAAUCUCCCGG